rnacentral:rRNA from 1 species
GCUUAACACAUGCAAGUCGAACGAGAGGACAAGAGAAGCUUGCUUCUUUUGGAAUCGAGUGGCAAACGGGCGAGUAACACGUAACAACCUGCCUUCAGGAUGGGGACAACAGACGGAAACGACUGCUAAUACCCAAUGACGUCUCUAGAAGACAUCUGAAAGAGAUUAAAGAUUUAUCGGUGAUGGAUGGGGAUGCGUCUGAUUAGCUUGUUGGCGGGUAACGGCCCACCAAGGCGACGAUCAGUAGGGGUUCUGAGAGGAAGGUCCCCCACAUUGGAACUGAGACACGGUCCAAACUCCUACGGGAGGCAGCAGUGAGGAAUAUUGGUCAAUGGACGAGAGUCUGAACCAGCCAAGUAGCGUGCAGGAUGACGGCCCUAUGGGUUGUAAACUGCUUUUAUAAGGGAAUAAAGUGGGAGUCGUGACUCUUUUUGCAUGUACCUUAUGAAUAAGGACCGGCUAAUUCCGUG